GACGAACGCUGGCGGCGUGCUUAACACAUGCAAGUCGAACGGAAAGGCCCUGCUUUUGUGGGGUGCUCGAGUGGCGAACGGGUGAGUAACACGUGAGUAACCUGCCCUUGACUUUGGGAUAACUUCAGGAAACUGGGGCUAAUACCGGAUAGGAGCUCCUGCUGCAUGGUGGGGGUUGGAAAGUUUCGGCGGUUGGGGAUGGACUCGCGGCUUAUCAGCUUGUUGGUGGGUAGUGGCUUACCAAGGCUUUGACGGGUAGCCGGCCUGAGAGGGUGACCGGCCACAUUGGGACUGAGAUGCGGCCCAGACUCCUACGGGAGGCAGCAGUGGGAAAUAUUGCACAAUGGGCGGAAGCCUGAUGCAGCAACGCCGCGUGCGGGAUGACGGCCUUCGGGUUGUAAACCGCUUUCGCCUGUGACGAAGCGUGAGUGACGGUAAUGGGUAAAGAAGCACCGGCUAACUACGUG
rnacentral:rRNA from 1 species